GAUGAACGCUGGCGGCGCGCCUAAUACAUGCAAGUCGAGCGAACAGACGAGGAGCUUGCUCCUCUGACGUUAGCGGCGGACGGGUGAGUAACACGUGGAUAACCUACCUAUAAGACUGGGAUAACUUCGGGAAACCGGAGCUAAUACCGGAUAACAUGUUGAACCGCAUGGUUCAACAGUGAAAGACGGUCUUGCUGUCACUUAUAGAUGGAUCCGCGCCGCAUUAGCUAGUUGGUAAGGUAACGGCUUACCAAGGCAACGAUGCGUAGCCGACCUGAGAGGGUGAUCGGCCACACUGGAACUGAGACACGGUCCAGACUCCUACGGGAGGCAGCAGUAGGGAAUCUUCCGCAAUGGGCGAAAGCCUGACGGAGCAACGCCGCGUGAGUGAAGAAGGUCUUCGGAUCGUAAAACUCUGUUAUUAGGGAAGAACAAAUGUGUAAGUAACUAUGCACGUCUUGACGGUACCUAAUCAGAAAGCCACGGCUAACUACGUG
rnacentral:rRNA from 1 species